rnacentral:tRNA from 1 species
GUGGAUGUGGCUCAGUGGUAGGGCACAUGCUCAACAUGCAGGAGGUCAUGGGUUCAAGCCCCAGUACCCACA